GAUGAAGAACGCAGCGAAAUGCGAUAAGUAAUGCGAAUUGCAGAAUUCAGUGAGUCAUCGAAUCUUUGAACGCACAUUGCGCCCUGUGGUAUUCCGCAGGGCAUGCCUGUUCGAGCGUCAUUUCAACCCUCAAGCCCCGCUUGGUGUUGGGCCCCGCCCGCCGUGGCCGGCCCUAAAGACAGUGGCGGCGCCGCCUGGCCCUCAGCGUAGUACAGCUCUCGCUCCAGGGUCCGGCGGCCGCCUGCCAGAACCCCCCCAACUCUGUGGUUGACCUCGGAUCAGGUAGGGAUACCCGCUGAACUUAAGCAUAUCAAAAGCGGAGGA
rnacentral:misc_RNA from 1 species